UAACCCUACAGUUCUUCUCCGCCACCUCACCAUUCACCGCACAGUCUCAGCCUCUCACUUCUCUCAUCGUCUGUCUCGCAAUUCGAAGACACGGCAUCAACGCUUCUCUUUGCUCCGCGACUCCGAUUCUCUUCGCUCCGCGUCUCCGCUUCUUCUCCCUCGGCGUCUCUGCUUCUCCUGGCUCGACGUCUCCGCCACUUGUCCCUCGGUGUCUCCACUUCUCCUCCCGCAGCGUUCUCAUCGUCUCUCCUCCAUUGCACUCAUCGGCUUGCGCCAGUUGCCCUCAGUGCUUUCGAGUUCAAAACCCUCUCAGCAUACCUGCGAGGCAAACCAUCAAACAGGUUUGCAAACGGGCAUAUCAGGAUUAAAUAAGAUGGUAGCUACCAUUUUUUAAAUAAUUUCAAUUAGUAGAUUAAAGGUGUAAAAUCAGGAAAAUAGAAAACAGGAAUACAUACAAAAAAAAAUAAACA